GCUGAGCUUCAAGUCAGGCUAAACUUUCAGUUGUCCUGUACUGAGUUCAAGACAUUCAUUGAAAAUCAGCCAGGACUCAUAGCAGCAGCAAAGAAAAACACCAAAUAUAAAUGGAAGAUUAGCCAAGAGCAGCAGAGGCAUAGGCAAGCACAAGCAAAGCACACACCACACUCUAAGCAAUCAGGUGUCCACAACCAAAAACUGUUGGAAAUGAACCAAAAUACUGAAGACCUAGCCUAGUAAACUAGAC